rnacentral:misc_RNA from 1 species
GAUGAAGAACGUAGCGAAAUGCGAUAAGUAGUGUGAAUUGCAGAAUUCAGUGAAUCAUCGAAUCUUUGAACGCACAUUGCGCCCCUUGGUAUUCCGAGGGGCAUGCCUGUUCGAGCGUCAUUAUCACCCUUCAAGCUCUGCUUGGUGUUGGGGCCUGCUGUUAGGCAGCCCUUAAAAUUAGUGGCAGUGACCAUUAGGCUCUAAGCGUAGUAAUUCUUCUCGCUAUAGCGUCUAGUGGUUCCGCGCCAAAACCCCCAAUUUUUUAUGAUUGACCUCGGAUCAGGUAGGGAUACCCGCUGAACUUAAGCAUAUCAAUAAGCGGAGGA